rnacentral:SRP_RNA from 1 species
GCCGGGUGCGGUGGCACGUGCCUGUAGUCCCAGCUACUCGGGAGGCUGAGGUGGGAAGAUCACUUGAGCCCAGGAGUUCUGUGCUGUAGUGCGCUAUGCUGAUCGGGUGUCCGCACUAAGUUUGGCAUCACUAUGGUGACCUCCUGGGAGCAGGGGACCACCAGGUUGCCUAAGGAGGGGUGAACCGGCCCAGGUGGGAAACAGAGCAGGUCAAAACUCCCGUGCUGAUCAGUAGUAGUGGGAUAGUGCCUGUGAAUAGUCACUGCACUCCAGCCUGGGCAACAUAGCGAGAUACCGCCUCU